rnacentral:rRNA from 1 species
AGUGAACGCUGGCGGUAGGCCUAACACAUGCAAGUCGAACGGCAGCACAGUAAGAGCUUGCUCUUACGGGUGGCGAGUGGCGGACGGGUGAGGAAUACAUCGGAAUCUACUUUUUCGUGGGGGAUAACGUAGGGAAACUUACGCUAAUACCGCAUACGACCUACGGGUGAAAGCAGGGGAUCUUCGGACCUUGCGCGAUUGAAUGAGCCGAUGUCGGAUUAGCUAGUUGGCGGGGUAAGGGCCCACCAAGGCGACGAUCCGUAGCUGGUCUGAGAGGAUGAUCAGCCACACUGGAACUGAGACACGGUCCAGACUCCUACGGGAGGCAGCAGUGGGGAACAUUGGACAAUGGGCGCAAGCCUGAUCCAGCCAUACCGCGUGGGUGAAGAAGGCCUUCGGGUUGUAAAGCCCUUUUGUUGGGAAAGAAAAGCAGCAGGUUAAUACCCCGCUGUUCUGGCGGUACCCAAAGAAUAAGCACCGGCUAACUUCGUG